rnacentral:rRNA from 1 species
CAGCGGAGGGAUCAUUACAGAGUGUAAAAACUCCCAAACCCUUUGUGAACAUACCACUGUUGCCUCGGCGGAGCUACCCGGUAGCUACCCUGUAGCUACCCUGUAGCCGCCGGCGGACCAUCAAACUCUGAUUAUGUAGAUAUCUGAGCGUACUUUUAAAUAAGUCAAAACUUUCAACAACGGAUCUCUUGGUUCUGGCAUCGAUGAAGAACGCAGCGAAAUGCGAUAAGUAAUGUGAAUUGCAGAAUUCAGUGAAUCAUCGAAUCUUUGAACGCACAUUGCGCCCAUUAGUACUCUAGUGGGCAUGCCUGUUCGAGCGUCAUUACGACCCUUAAGCCUAGCUUAGUAUUGGGAACCUACGUGCGGCAGCUACCCUGUAGCUACCCUGUAGCUCCUUAAAGACAACGGCGGAGACGUGGAGUCCUCUGAGCUUAGUAACUUUUCUAGCUUCUGAAGGCGCCGCGGCCCCUGCCGUAAAACCCCCAACUUUUAGUGGUUGACCUCGGAUCAGGUAGGAAUACCCGCUGAACUUAAGCAUAUCAAUAAGCGGAGGAAAAGAAACCAACAGGGAUUGCCUUAGUAACGGCGAGUGAAGCGGCAACAGCUCAAAUUUGAAAGCUGGCCUUCGGGUCCGCAUUGUAAUUUGUAGAGGAUGCUUUUGGUGAGGUGCCUUACGAGUUCCCUGGAACGGGACGCCUUAGAGGGUGAGAGCCCCGUACGUUUGGUUACCGAGCCUCUGUAAAGCUCCUUCGACGAGUCGAGUAGUUUGGGAAUGCUGCUCUAAAUGGGAGGUAAAUUUCUUCUAAAGCUAAAUACCGGCCAGAGACCGAUAGCGCACAAGUAGAGUGAUCGAAAGAUGAAAAGCACUUUGAAAAGAGGGUUAAAUAGCACGUGAAAUUGUUGAAAGGGAAGCGUUUAUGACCAGACUUUUUCCUGGCGGAUCAUCCGGCGUUCUCGCCGGUGCACUUCGCCAGGUUUAGGCCAGCAUCGGUUUUCGCCGGGGGAUAAAAGCAGUGGUAAUGUGGCUCCCUCCGGGGAGUGUUAUAGACCGCUGUAUAAUACCCUGGCGGGGACCGAGGU